ACGAAAGAAUAAAAGAAUAUUUUCAUUGUUAAAACUUUAGCCACAAUUCAAUUGUUAGAGUCAAAGAAAAAAAAAUCAAUGAACAUGUAACAUAAAUAUGACUAAAUUUACUCUAGCUGAAUUGAUAUUUACUUUCGAUAUUUUGAUUUUGCUUGAAUAUUUAUACGAUUAGUAGUAAAAUGAUCCCUAUAUCAUUUCAGUAAGGGUCAUUUUUAUUCUACAACGUUGCGUGGAUUUUGAAUGAACGAAUUCGAAUCCAUCGUUACACAAAGAAGUGUUAAGUUUUAUAUAGAUUCAAAUAUUUGUGAAAUUUAUUUACAAAUAGCGUUUUAUAUAUAACUUGAUCUCUGUUAAUUCAUUUCGUUUAUAAAAGUAUAGCUAAUGAAUCUAGGCACGAAACUAUCUAAUUAAAUUUCAUAAAACAUGUUUUAGCAAUAUCAUUCUGACUUAUCACCGUGUCUUGUGCAAUAUAAAAAAAAACAUCCUCAUAACGUUUGGUAAAUAACUGUAACUAGCGAUUAAGGCCUGGUUGCUUUAUUAAACGGUUCGUUUUGCUUCCGUUGUAUAUGACUUGUUCGUAAACAAAACGAACUGUUUUAUAAAUAUAACAACCGGAUUUUAAACUUUUAAAAUCUAAUCGUUUUCUUUAGUUCAUUCGCGUAACACUAGUGUAAAUAAAUUAUUUUCUGGUCCCAUAUCAUAGUAAUUCGUUACAUGUUGUUUUACUUGACCGACACGACACAUAGACACGUAACGACGCGAAGCGAUACGGUCGCAUUAGAGUCAGUUUCCCAUAUUGAAAAAAACGAUUUAUUUUACUCAUUGGUUCUUUACAUUAGUUUUGAGGAUAACAAAUCGUUUAUGAAUAUAGGAACCGGUUUUAAAUUGGUUAUCUUAAGUACAUCUUCGUUGUUACGAUAAUUCACAUUGUUUAAAGUAUUUUAUUUAUAAAAAUAAAAAAAAAUAUUUAUUUAUUUAUUAGCUACUAGCUGUCCGGAUAGACUUCGUUCUGUCAAAAAGUAAUAGUAAAAAUUGUUUCUUUUUUUUAGUAUUAAAACCUUCAAUUGACCUUAACAAAAAUACAAAAAAAUAAAUUAUCCGAACUGUUCGAGCCAUUCUCGAGUUAUGCGCUUACAACAUUCAUUUUUCAGUUUGCCUAUUAUCAAUCUACCUCCAAUAUGAGGGUUGGAGUAUUUACUUAUGACGCUUUAAUAUACAGUAAUAGGGAGCCAUUCGUAAAUUACGUCACGUGUGGUGUCGAAGAAGUGUGCAACUGUGCGACAAGGGGUGGGGUCCAAAAUUUUGUGACAUCACAUUUCAAAAUAUAAAUUGUUAGUUAAUUUGAAAUAAAAAUAAUGACUAAAAUAAUUUAUAGAAGUAAAAUUGUAAAUUAUUUGACGUCGCACUGGGUAGGGGUACUCGUGACCAUCUGUGACAAGCCGGGGAAAGGGGUAAAAAAUCGUGAAAUUCGCCAAUGAAAGUGACUAUUUUGCCUGUUUUCAAAUUUAAAUUGAGACUGUUAUCUCAACCACGCCGAUCAAUCCGUGUAUUCUCCAUUCUACGUGAUAUUAUUAUUUAUAUAAUAUGAAAGUUGUUGUUUCUGAAUUGAGGUGAAACAGGUCCUAACGGCCUAUUUUACAUCCUGCUGCAUUUACCCUGCUUAAGCUUAUUCCUAACUUAUUUGCAGGAUAAACUUAUCCAUACCUGGUGAAACUGGCCAUAAGUGCUGUUCGCGCUAAGUGGCAUCGUUUUGUGUCGUUUACAUAGACAGAGAUAGAUGUUAGAGUAGACCGUUGUUCUUAUAAUAUAUAACUAGAAUUUGUGGUUAUAAAUAUACUGAUUGAAUAUAUAGUACAUGCUUUUAAUAUAAGUAUUAUAAAAGAAAUUUGUUUCUAAAUGAAUUGUUACUUGUUUUGAUUUUACGUAAUUUAUUUACAGGAUUUCGCUGGAUUUGCUCACUCAUUAGGAUACAAAUGUUCAGCUUUAUAUUAAAAUUUGUUUUGUAUAAUGUGUUUAAUGUAACAAGCUGACCAACGAUAGGUGUAACUAUAUCAAAAUUUAGAGCUAAUCUGUCAGUAGUUAACAGUAACUAGUACUAAUUUUUAAAAUCGAAUUCAGUUUUAUACGAGGUUCCUAUAUUCAAAACCGAUACGUUUUCAUCAUAAAGGAAGAAGAAAACGAUUGGUAUAAAUAUUGGAACCGGGCGUUCGUAACUUACAUCAGUCCUCGUUAACUGUUAUAUUGUGUGCUUUCUACUCAAGAAGAAACGCACAUGUUUUAUCUUUAUAUGUUGAUGUGCUCUCAUUUUCAAACAGUGUGAAAGUAAAAUAAUAAAAAUAUUUAUUAAACAAUGUAUUUUAUUUUUACUUCAAAAAUAU
rnacentral:misc_RNA from 1 species